rnacentral:rRNA from 1 species
AAUGAACGCUGGCGGCAGGCUUAACACAUGCAAGUCGAGCGAGCGGCGGACGGGUGAGUAAUGUCUGGGAAACGGCCUGAUGGAGGGGGAUAACUACUGGAAACGGUAGCUAAUACCGCAUACCAUCAGAUGUGCCCACAUGGGAUUAGCGAGGUGGUGGGGUAAUGGCUCACCUAGGCGACGAUCCCUAGCUGGUCUGAGAGGAUAACCAGCAAAACGGGAACUGAGACACGGUCCAGAAUCCUACGGGAGGCAGCAGUGGGGAAUAUUGCACAAUGUGCGCAAGCCUGAUGCAGCCAUGCCGCGUGUGUGAAGAAGGCCUUCGGGUUGUAAAGCACUUUCAGCGAGGAGGCGUUACUCGCAGAAGAAGCACCGGCUAACUCCGUGCCAGCAGCCGCGGUAAUUC